rnacentral:rRNA from 1 species
CAAACCAAAGCUGGCGACCGGCGCACGGGUGAGUAACACGUAUCCAACCUGCCUCAUACUCGGGGAUAGCCUUUCGAAAGAAAGAUUAAUAUCCGAUAGCAUAUAUUUCCCGCAUGGGUUUUAUAUUAAAGAAAUUCGGUAUGCGAUGGGGAUGCGUUCCAUUAGUUUGUUGGGGGGUAACGGGCCCACCAAGACUACGAUGGAUAGGGGUUCUGAGAGGAAGGUCCCCCACAUUGGAACUGAGACACGGUCCAA